AUUAUUAACAUUGUACUACAUUACAGAGAAAAACAAAACUGUAAAAAAUAGCCUUUAAAAUAUACAUUUUACAAGGGGAACAAGUCUGCUUGCUCCCCGGCAGUUUAGACCACCACUUCCUUAUGACUCAUCCCUUGACGGCUAUGUUCCCAUGGAAAGGGAGCUGAGCCUGACAUAUUUUACACUCCCACAUCUGCUCUUGAGGUUUGCGAUUUGUAUAUCCAUCAACCAACAGGAAGAUUAACCCCAACCUGCCAUCUGUGUGAAGGUACAAAAAUACCUGAAGUACUAUGAAUGGCUGUACAACUGGAGGGAGCAUUGGCCACUCAGUUAUAGAGGCUGUCUUCUCACCAGAGGAAAUAACAGCAACGUGUCAUCAAGGACAAGAUACAGCAGAGGACGAAGGCCUUCAAUCCUCAUCAGCUCUUCAACCUCCUGACACCAAGGCUGGAGACCUUUUAUGAGACAUGCAUCGCUGAUGUUGCCCUUGGACGCUGGAAAUCAUCGCAACUUCUAAAUUCAGUAUUUAAUGGAUCUUAACAGCUGUUAUUAGUUGGCAUGCUACAGGUUUUUCACAGAGGAAUAUAUGCAUGCACGCCACUUUAAAAGCAAAUAUAUAGCAGCUUGUAUUACUUAUGUUUUGUGUAGAUUGGGGAAAAGAAGUUUGUGGUGAAUGGAUCCACGCAAACCUAUGUGGUGGACAUGGAGUUGGAGCUGUGUUUGUGCCCUGCAGGACAAACUUGGGCGCCAUGCAAACUCCAGGCAGCAGUGUCUGUCCAGCACUUUCCUUCCAACAAGCCCAGAGAUGACAGCAGAACUGCUCAAGCAAUUAAAGCCAAUGUUUUCACAGUAACUGGUAUAGUAAGACUUCCAAUAUUUCCUGUUUAAAUUACACAAUAAAGGUUAGCCAAAGCCAGAGAAUUCAUUCAA